CUGGAGAGAUCUAAUUAAAUUCUGACAGCGAGGGAAAAAGGCCAUGUGUGUGUGUACCUGCGUCCAUGGCUGGGAAUAGAUUGAAUGACGCAAGGUUUAUUCAUGACAUUUGCAGAAACAAUGAGUUAUUCAUAGUGGACGGGAGCAACGGAACAUUUCUGACAGCCAACAUGGAAAAAUUUGAGAUUUAUCCAAAUCAGCACAUGCUCCCAAAUCAACAGUCCCAUCAACCAAUCAGCUUUCAGAGGUAUGUUUAGAACUGUGAUUGGUGUCUUUCUCAGGUCAACAAUUUUGUGUCCCUGAACAAUCAUCUGAAGUAAAAACAAAGAGAAAGUAGAGAAAAGAGUCAUAAUGGGAAAUGAAAACGGAUGGAUGAACAGUGUUU
rnacentral:lncRNA from 1 species